GAUCUGCCCCUUGGCCGUGGCAGCUGGAGAGCUGAAUUUUUAAUCAAAGCAGCGAUUGUGCUUUUAGGUGUGCGUGGCUGUGCUGCUGCCUUCUCACCUCCUUCAGCCUUUGGGCGCUGGCUUUGCAAACGGAGCCAGGCUGUAAUGGAAGCCUCUGGGACAAGCUGCACUUUGGUUGCAGGGUGGGAAAAGCAGAGGCUCUUUGCUCCUGUAAACCUUUGGGCCUGAGCAAUGUGCUGUUGGGAGAAGCAGGCACUGCUGCAGCACCCAGCAGGAGGGCUGCUGGUGCAGCAACAGAGGAAACACCUCUUGCUCCUGCUGCCCUUCCCCUUCUCCAAGUCCUCCUCCCCAUUCCCGGACCAUCUUUUAUUCAUGGCUGAGCGGCGCAGACGCCGCUGCUUGCUGCCUUCUCGGGAUGCUGGCAUUAAUAUUUCAUCCUGGAGCCAGCUCACGCUGAAGGGCUCAUGUCCCAGGUACAUCUUUUCCCAAACAAGCAACGCAAAGGAGAAUUUGGAAUACCAAUCAAGCAGAGCAAAGGCUGAAAUCCUUCUGACUUUGGUGGUAGGUUUGUAUCCCAUCCUAGCCAUGAGAGAAGGCCAAAUUUCAUCCAUAUUGCUGUAUGGUGCAGGCUGAGCACAGGAGCAGCUCAGUCCUUCAAGGAUCUGCUGCUGUGAAAAUACUGGCUGUGCUGUAAGCUCCCAGGAUGGGCACAUAAACAGCAAAGUGCACGCAUUAAAUUCUGACUGAGUGGUGCUUGGAAGGGAAUGAGAC
rnacentral:lncRNA from 1 species